rnacentral:rRNA from 1 species
AGUGAACGCUGGCGGUAGGCCUAACACAUGCAAGUCGAACGGCAGCACAGUAAGAGCUUGCUCUUACGGGUGGCGAGUGGCGGACGGGUGAGGAAUACAUCGGAAUCUACUUUUUCGUGGGGGAUAACGUAGGGAAACUUACGCUAAUACCGCAUACGACCUACGGGUGAAAGCAGGGGAUCUUCGGACCUUGCGCGAUUGAAUGAGCCGAUGUCGGAUUAGCUAGUUGGCGGGGUAAAGGCCCACCAAGGCGACGAUCCGUAGCUGGUCUGAGAGGAUGAUCAGCCACACUGGAACUGAGACACGGUCCAGACUCCUACGGGAGGCAGCAGUGGGGAAUAUUGGACAAUGUGCGCAAGCCUGAUCCAGCCAUACCGCGUGGGUGAAGAAGGCCUUCGGGUUGUAAAGCCCUUUUGUUGGGAAAGAAAAGCAGCAGGUUAAUACCCCGCUGUUCUGACGGUACCCAAAGAAUAAGCACCGGCUAACUUCGU